rnacentral:lncRNA from 1 species
AAUUUCUUCCGCAUACAUUAGUCACUAGAUUGUUAGUUUAAAUUUCCAAACAGGGGGCUUGCAUUCAUAUGCAAACUAAAUUAGGGGUUGAGGCAUGAGAACAUACCACUUCUUUUUACAUUCAACUUUCAGGCCUGAGAAAUCCUAAUGUGCACAAGAAUAUGUCGGAAGUGCUCCUAACGGCGCCAGCGGAGAGAAUGGUUAAUCGGAGACUGGAUCAGCGGGGCAGCAACUCUCUCUGAUUUAUAUAUCUGUAAGACUGGCUACUUCUGUGUUUAAUAUACAAGUUAUUUUGACAUUACUGAAAAGAACCUAGAAAUGUCUCUGCACUGGGGAAUAGAGAG